rnacentral:rRNA from 1 species
UUCGUGUGAACAGUGGUUGAUCACGAGUUAGUCGGUCCUAAGUUCAAGGCGAAAGCCGAAAAUUUUCAAGUAAAAAAUUUGUGAUAAUUGAAUAUUUAUUAAUAAUGAUAUACUUGAAUAAUUUUGAACGAAAGGGAAUACGGUUCCAAUUCCGUAACCUGUUGAGUAUCCGUUUGUUAUUAAAUAUGGGCCUCGUGCUCAUCCUGGCAACAGGAACGACCAUAAAGAAGCCGUCGAGAGAUAUCGGAAGAGUUUUCUUUUCUGUUUUAUAGCCGUACUACCAUGGAAGUCUUUCGCAGAGAGAUAUGGUAGAUGGGCUAGAAGAGCAUGACAUAUACUGUUGUGUCGAUAUUUUCUCCUCGGACCUUGAAAAUUUAUGGUGGGGACACGCAAACUUCUCAACAGGCCGUACCAAUAUCCGCAGCUGGUCUCCAAGGUGAAGAGUCUCUAGUCGAUAGAAUA